GUAGUAUUCCCUCCGUCCCAAAAUUCUUGUCUUACAUUUGUUUAGAUACGGAUGUAUCUAACACUAAAAUGUAACUAGAUACAUUCGUAUUUAGACAAAUUUAAGACAAGAAUUUUGGGACGGAGGGAGUACAAA
rnacentral:pre_miRNA from 1 species